GUGUUCACUUCAGCAGCACGUAUACUAAAACUGGAACAAAACAGAGAAGAUUACCAUGACCCCUGUGCAAGGAUGACACAAAAACUAUUUAUUGGACAUCUCAUAUU
ensembl:snRNA U6 U6 spliceosomal RNA